rnacentral:rRNA from 1 species
GAUGAACGCUGGCGGCGUGCCUAAUACAUGCAAGUCGAGCGAACGGACGAGAAGCUUGCUUUUCUGAUGUUAGCGGCGGAAGGGAGAGUAACACGUGGAUAACCUACCUAUAAGACUGGGAUAACUUCGGGAAACCGGAGCUAAUACCGGAUAAUAUUUUGAAUCGCAUGGUUCAAAAGUGAAAGACGGUCUUGCUGUCCCUUAUCGAUGGAUCCGCGCUGCAUUAGCUAGUUGGUAAGGUAACGGCGUACCAAGGCAACGAUGCAUAGCCGACCUGAGAGGGGGAGCGGCCACACUGGAACUGAGACACGGUACAGAGUCCUACGGGAGGCAGCAGUAGGGAAUCUUCAGCAAUGGGCGAAAGCCAGACGGAGCAACGCCGCGUGAGUGAUGAAGGUCUUCGGAUCGUAAAACGCUGUUAUUAGGGAAGAACAUAUGUGUAAGUAACUGUGCACAACUUGACGGUACCUAAUCAGAAAGCCACGGCUAACUACGUG